GAAGAAAGAUUAAAAAUACUGUGCUUAAUAAGAACCUCAGUGAUUUACAGCAGCUGUACAGAUUCCUGUCCUGAAUAAAUUCAGCCAACAGGUGGAGGCACAGCACAUGGAUGAAUCUUUUAUGAAUCAAACCGCACAGACCCCUCCCUCUUUACACUGACACUCUUAUCACAGCUUUCCCCACAUUAGUGCUCAACAAUGUCUUCACUUAUGAACACAGUUGGUUUUCUCUUCACUUUGUUUUUAUGUCAGGCGUGCGCUGUGACAUUUGUGAAGUUUGAUCCACAGAUAGUGCAGAAGGACACAGAGGUCGAGAUCAAAUGCAGCCAUAAUGACACUUCUCUUCUUAUCAUGCUCUGGUAUCAACAGAGAAAGGACGGCACGUCUCUGACCCUCAUUGGUUACGGAUAUGAAAGCUCCCCCAAUUAUGAGGGUCAGUUUGGAGAACAAUUCAACCUGACAAGAGACGGCCCAGAGAAAGGAGCUCUGAUCAUAAGCAAAGCACAACCGUCACACUCAGCUGUGUAUUUCUGUGCUGCCAGUAACACAGUGAUGUGGUUCAAUGCCACUCCCUCACUAAAAACACCCCCCUCCAUUCUCUGCUGAUGAGGCAUUUACAGAUUAGACAGCGUCAAGGAU